GAUGAACGCUAGCUACAGGCUUAACACAUGCAAGUCGAGGGACCGGCGCACGGGUGAGUAACGCGUAUCCCACCUACCCAAUACUCAGGCAUAACCCGUUGAAAGACGGACUAAUUCCUGAUGGUAUUUGAUGGGUCUGCGUCUGAUUAGUUUGUUGGUGAGGUACUCGCUCACCAAGACUCCGAUCAGUAGGGGGACGGAGAGGAAGGUCCCCCGCAUUGGAACUGAGACACGGUCCAAACUCCUACGAGAGGCAGCAGUGAGGAAGAUUUGGCAAUGGAUGCAAAUCUGAAACAGCCAAGUAGCGUGCAGGGUGACGGCGUAUGAGUUGUAAACUGCUUUUAUGUAAGAAUAGGUAUCACAUGAGUAAGGACCGGCUAAUUACGUGCCAGCAGCCGCGGUAAUAC
rnacentral:rRNA from 1 species